UACGUAGGGUCCAAGCGUUAUCCGGAUUCAUUGGGCGUAAAGGGUGCGUAGGUGGCGCCGUAAGUCAGGUGUGAAAUCUCGGGGCUCAACCCCGAAACUGCGCUUGAUACUGCGGUGCUCGAGUACUGGGGAGGAGAUUGGAAUUUACGGUGUAGCAGUGAAAUGCGUAGAUAUCGUAAGGAAGACCAGUGGCGAAGGCGAAUCUCUGGACAGUUACUGACACUGAGGCACGAAGGCCAGGGGAGCAAACGGG
rnacentral:rRNA from 1 species